GUCCAUGCCGUAAACGAUGAUUACUAGGUGUGGGAGAUUGACCCUCUCCGUGCCGCAGUUAACACAAUAAGUAAUCCACCUGGGGAGUACGACCGCAAGGUUGAAACUCAAAGGAAUUGACGGGGGCCCGCACAAGCAGUGGAGUAUGUGGUUUAAUUCGAAGCAACGCGAAGAACCUUACCAGGUCUUGACAUCGGAUGCAUAGCUAAGAGAUUAGUGAAGUCUUUCGGGACAUCCAGACAGGUGGUGCAUGGUUGUCGU
rnacentral:rRNA from 1 species